rnacentral:lncRNA from 1 species
GUGGGGUUCUAUGGGGUCUCGAAUGAGGAAUAGCUAGCUGGAUUCCAGUCCACAAUGGGCACCCUCACUGUUCGGCAGCAUCCUGGGCCACAGUCCUCACGACUGGCUGGGCCAAAGAGACCCAGGACGCUGCAGGUUAAAGGCCAAGGCACUGGCCAGCCCUACGCCCACCAGCUGGACCCAGCCCAGUCCUUGUUCGUCCUCAGCUCCUCCUCCGCCUCAGGGAAGUCGCGUCCUGGUCAGGAGGACCUGCAACAGCCCACACUGUGUCCUUAGGGCGAGGGGGAGCUGAGGACUAACAAGGACUGGG